AACUGCUGCUGCUCUUUAUUUCUUUAAUAUUGGACUUUAUUUCUUUCAGUAAGGGUCUUUUAAUACUGCCCUUAUCGACUACCUUGUCAACAUUGGAAUCCACCUUAUUUCAUCAUCGUGAACACCAAAAAGCCAAACAAUGGCAGAUGGUGGAGUUUGAAAAGAAUAAUUGAGACUCUUUGAAUGGCGAUUGAAGUUCAACUGAUACUCAGACCAUGUUGCUUGAAAGAUCCCAAUAAUGAGGUUUUUUAAUACCGGAAACUGUAGAGGGUUCUUUGUUUCCGGCGGUGGAAUGGACGCAUCAAUCACUGGGUUUGAAGAGGGGUUAUCGCAUACAUGGUCAGCCUAGGGUUAGGAUGAAGAUGCAGUGAGAUGACGGCACAGGACAUCUUAAUUUAUGCAAAAAAAUCUGAUUUGUUUCGAUUCAGUAUGGAGACCACUCCAGUCGAUCGAUGAGGUAUUUGAAACGUUGAAAUUACAAAUGAGGGAUUGACGAGUGAAGAAGGGAAUAAGAGGCUUAAUGUAUUGGCCCUAACAAGCUAGAAGAGAACAAGGCUGUUGUAGAGACAACCCUGGGAUUUAUAAAAGAAGCACCAGCUACUAGAAUUACUUGAUUUAAUGUGUACCAUAAAAAAAGUGUAUGAUUCGUGUAGAAUCGAGGCUUUGAUUUAAUUUAGGAUGUUUUUAAGUUUAUUAGUCAAUAUGUCAAAUUAUUUCAGCCCUACUGGAAAGUAACCGGUGAGGGACAUUCGAAAGGGUAUGGGCAUGAAGCAAAUUUCACAGAACCGGCACACGACAAGCAAGAUUUUUUGUGUUUUUACGGCUGGAAAUGAAGCUAAAAGUCUAAAACAAAUGCAAUUGAAAUACGGAUGGACUGUACAAAUGAUUCACACCCGAAUUUUAUUGGUGGCAGUAAGGAUGUAGAGUUGCCUAUGCAGCAAGUCAAGUCUUCUUUUUUUUUUGGGUAAAGUGCAGCAAGUCAAGUCUUCUAGGAUUGCUUCGGCAGUUUCAAGGCAAAAGGUGUAACUAUGUAUAGUCUGGUGUUAGUUUUGCAUCUUUGCUCGCUUGCUGAUGGCUCUUUUUCUAACUAUUAGUUAAAUUUUGUUGGUCAUGAUGCUGCUGCUGAGUUGGAUAAAGCACCACAAUGUGAAAGAAGUAUCAAGUGAUGCACAUUUCUUAAAUUAACAAGUAUAGUGUGCAGAUUUAGUUUGUUGUGAUGGGCUUCUUUGGAAAUUCAUGGUGAGCAGUUACCGCCAAACAUCCAGAAAGGAUAUGCAUAAGUUGCUCUGAAUCAGGUUGUCUCAUUUGUUGUUCCACACUCCCAUAGCCAUCUUCUUGUCCUCACAAACAGAUUUCGUAUUGGAUGCUCUAAAUGAUUCAAAGACGGGUGUUGUAGGGUUUCUCUUCAGUUAGCAGGCCCUGUUCGUUACACGACGUUUAUACAAUUGUCGCUCAGCUAAACAUUAUUAAUCAAUGAAUUGUUUAACGUUACCGGGUCAGCCUCCUUUCCGUUUUCGUAUGCCUAGCGCUACACUAAUGAUGUAUUCAAUGCACGGUCUUAGUCUUUACCAUCGCAACUAACCGCUACAGGCUUUUUUUUUUUUGCUUUGAAUACAUGGGGUAUAGAGAAAUCUGCUAUAGACGCACAUGAAUCGGACAAACCUCAAGUUCAAGAAACGAUUGAAUGUGCUAGGGGUAAUCGACAUGUUUCAGUAAUGCCCACCGGGUGUUUGUUAAUAUAUUUCAAUGAAUUUAGCCAUUAUUGUUUUUCAAAAAGCUAUGAUUAGUUUCUUACAUUAGAUAGCAAAACAUCUAAUCUCAUAGAAUUAUAGAAUUAUGAAUAAAAUGUUGGGAUGCUACAAUUUUUGGGCAGGUUAGUUAUUUAAAAAUACAGAGAUUGAAACAAGAAAUUUUGUUUUAUUCUAUCCUAUCAAAUAUGGCAGAAGAAUCUUUAUUAACAAAGUAAUAAUCUGCCCAAAUUUAUGAGAAAAUUGAAGCGUACAUGAAAAGAUAGUGAAAAUGCACCUUUCUCAUGGGUUUUAAAGUCAAUGACUAAUCGUGUGACUUUUUUUUUAUGUAAUUUUUUUAGGUUGAAAUCUUUUCAUGUUGCAAGGAGAUUGUUUAAAUAUGACACAUUACAAGGUGUUCAGAACGAGUCUUGAGGUUAAUGAACUAGAAAGAACAAAGAAGGAAGGAAAUGAAUAAUAUGUCCUUUGCUUAAUAAUCUUUGAAAUUCAGUUAUUUAUCAUGUAUCUUAAUUUGUAGUGACUAAUGUUUUUUCUUUCUUUUUAAUAUCUUACCAAUGGAAAAAAGUGACAACAUGAACUACAAUACUCAUAGGACGGUAUCUCUGAUGGAAAAAAAAGUGACAGUAUGAAGAAUUCCAAUGCUGCUAAGAUGGUACCUCAGAUUUAGCUUCCUUAUUUUAGAGGUGGUCUUAUGUUAACAAAUGAGUCAAAACCAGACAUUUUAGAUGUGGUCAUUAUUUUAAGAAAUGAGUCAAAUGAAGUAAUAUUAUAUCUUCUAACCAGACAGAUGGAAAAUUUCUAAACAGACAAGGUCAAAAGGGCCGAAACCUCAUUUGUAUGCAUAUCCAUGUCCUUUUAUCUAGAUGAUCAUUUAUAUAGUAAAAUGGCACAAGUUAUGUAAAGUCAUUAUUUAAAGCUCAAAUUGAGAAAGUGAUUAUACUUUGAGAGGUAA